rnacentral:rRNA from 1 species
AGGGGCGGGUGAGUAACCGGUAAGAUUUUGGCCCCAGUCCGGGAAUAAGUUGGAAACGACUGCUAAUACCNGGAUGUGCCGAGAGGUGAAAGAUUUAUUGCCUGGAGAUGAGCUCGCGUCUGAUUAGCUAGUUGGUGGUGUAAGGGACCACCAAGGCGUCGAUCAGUAGCUGGUCUGAGAGGAUGAUCAGCCACACUGGGACUGAGACACGGCCCAGACUCCUACGGGAGGCAGCAGUGGGGAAUUUUCCGCAAUGGGCGAAAGCCUGACGGAGCAAUACCGCGUGAGGGAGGAAGGCUCUUGGGUCGUAAACCUCUUUUCUCAAGGAAGAAGAAAGUGACGGUACUUGAGGAAUAAGCAUCGGCUAACUCCGUGCCAGCAGCCGCGGUAAUACGGAGGAUGCAAGCGUUAUCCGGAAUGAUUGGGCGUAAAGGGUCUGCAGGUGGAACUGAAAGUCUGCUGUUAAAGAGUUUGGCUUAACCAAAUAAAAGCGGUGGAAACUACAGAACUAGAGUGCGGUAGGGGCAAAAGGAAUUCCUGGUGUAGCGGUGAAAUGCGUAGAUAUCAGGAAGAACACCGGUGGCGAAAGCGUUUUGCUAGACCGUAACUGACACUGAGGGACGAAAGCUAGGGGAGCGAAUGGGAUUAGAUACCCCAGUAGUCCUAGC